GCACCAUUCAAUCCAUCUCUGCGAAAUACUGGUGGCCCACAUUUGCGCAGGACAUCGCCCGUUAUGUCAACUCCUGCUCCGUGUGUGCCCAAAUCAAAUCUCCCCAGCACACUCCAGCAGGGAAACUCCUUCCCCUUCCCGUGCCUCAGCGGCCUUGGUCCCAUGUGUCCAUAGAUUUCGAUACUUCCUCCAUCUGAAGGUUUCACCAAAUCCUGCCAUUUUAUUCCUCUCUCUGGUCUCCCUACCGCUCUCCAGAUCAUUAAUGCACUGUUCCAGCAGGUCUUCCGGGUACUAUGACCUUCUGGAGGACAUCGUCUCCGACCGUGGCCCCCAAUUCACGUUGUGGGUAUGGAGAGCCUUCGUGAAGAAGUUUGGGGCCACGGCCAGCCUCACAUACAGACUGGUGGUUCCUGGUCCCCUGGCUGGUGUCGUCCCCUGUGACACCCCUCCACCUCCCAUGGACAUCGAUGGGACCAGGACGGUCCGGACGGGACCCAACAGCACUCCUCUGGGCCGC
ensembl:lncRNA